rnacentral:rRNA from 1 species
UACGUAGGGUGCGAGCGUUGUCCGGAAUUACUGGGCGUAAAGAGCUCGUAGGCGGUUUGUCGCGUCGUCCGUGAAAACUUGGGGCGUCAACCCCAAGCUUGCGGGCGAUACGGGCAGACUUGAGUACUGCAGGGGAGACUGGAAUUCCUGGUGUAGCGGUGAAAUGCGCAGAUAUCAGGAGGAACACCGGUGGCGAAGGCGGGUCUCUGGGCAGUAACUGACGCUGAGGAGCGAAAGCGGUGGGUAGCAAACAGG